rnacentral:sRNA from 1 species
AAUAAAGCAAGAAAGUGGGGGGCAGGCAUGGUGGCUCACUCCUGUAAUCCUAAUGGUUUGGGAGGCCGAGGCAGAAGGACCGCUUGAGGCCAGGAGUUUGAGGUUGCAGGGAGCUAUGAUCAUGUGACUGCACUCCAGUUUGGCAAGACCCUGUUUCAGGGGGGAAAAAAAAAAAAGAAAAGGGGGAUAGGAAAUUAGGGAAGUGCCAGGAGUAGGCAUGAGGAUAUGUUUUUAAACGACAGGGAGGAUUAGCACAGGGAAGGCCUUACCAACAAAGUAAUUUAUUUUUUAGAGACAGGGUCUCACUCUUGCCCAGGCUGGAGUGCAGUGGUGUGAUCCCAGCUCACUGCAACUUCUGCCUCCCAAGCUCAGAUGAUCCUCACACCUCAGCCUCCUGAUUAGCUGGGACUACAGGCACACACCACCAACCCUGUCUUGUUUUUUUGUAGGGAUGGGGUUUCACCAUGUUGCCCAGGCUGAUCUUGAACUACUGGGCUCAAGCAAUCUGCCCACCUCGGCCACCCAAAGUUCUGGGAUAACAGGCUUGUGCCACUGCACCCAGCCUGGUUUUUUUUGUUUUGUUUUGUUUUGUUUUAAAUUGAUUCCUGUUAAAUGCUGACAAUAGGUCAGAUAAAGAGUUCUCAAAGUAGACCUUUGGAUUUAACUAUGUGGAGGUCAUUGGUAAUCUUGUCAAAAGUAGCUUCUUGGGAGUGGUGGAGGUGAAAGCCUAUUUCAGAUGAGUUUCAGAGAGAUUGGGAGGAGAGGCAUUGAGUUUAGACAUUUCUUUUAAGAGUUCUACAGAGGGGACAGAAGAAGUAGAAGGGGAAUGCCGAUGAGGAUUUGGCAGAGUUUUCUUUAAGAUGGAAGAGUUUACAAGCCCCCCUCUUUUUUUUUUUUUAAUAAUGCUACUGGGAGUGACCUAGGAGAAAGAGAAAUUGGCAAUGUUCUUCCCUUGAAGAGGGAUUAGCCCUAUAUAUAUGUGUACUUUUAUGAGACUGGGGGGAAGGCAGAGUACAAAGAGGCUUAUGAUGACAGGUUCUUAGAUAGUGCAGGAACUUGUAGAAGUGUUUUUCUCUGAAUGCUUCUGUUUUCUCAGUGAAGUAGAAUGCACAUUCAGAAUGAAGAUAGGGAAGUAUUCUUAGAGAUUUGAGGACAGAGGAGAAGGUAUAAAGUCAUUAUCUAUGGAAGUGAGGGAUUGGACUAGGGUGCAGGCCAGUAAAACAUGGCUUGUGAGCCAAAUUCGGCUUGCCCUGUGUUUUUGGAAACAAAGUUUUGUUGUAACCCAAGCAUGCCCAUUUAUCUGUUGUCUAUGGCUGCUUUCCUACUGGAAUAGCUAAGUUGAAUAGUUACAACAGAAACCAUAUGGCUUGCAAAGCACACAGUAUUUACUCUCUGGCCCUUUACAUAGAAAAGUUUGCUGACCUCCAGACUAGGGAAAUGUAGUAUAAUUUCCAGGCAGCCUUAAAAACUCUUUAGAAGUUAAUGGUCCAGAAUAAUGACAAAUAGCUGAUUGUUGACUUUCACUAUCUUCAUUGCCCCUGUUAGAGAGUUUUGAGUUGGAAAGACCAAACUGAACAAAGGAUGUCAAUGUAUAGGUUUCUUCCACAAAUACUGAGCUCUUGCUAGAUGCCAGAUACUGUGCUAGUCUUGGGAAUUCUUGCUCUCAGGAAGCUUACAAUGAACUUAAACCUGAUUAAAGACAAUUCAUGAAUAUCUGUAUGAUUUCAAAUAGAGAAUGACAUGCCCUAUAUUGCCUGACCAAACGGUGCAUCAUCAAAGUUAUUCAAACUGUAGUAGCCUGUGCUGUCUUAUUUCUCUUCCUAUUCUGUAUCAGAUCCAUUGCUGCUACCCCAAUCCUAUAGCUCUUUGAUUCAUGUCUGUUAUGUGGGUGAGUGGAGAACUCACUGUAUUACUGCUACCAUAGAUCUGAUACUUCACCACUUGAAUCUUGCACAGAAACCAGAGAAGCUAGCUAAUGCCUGCUGUAGCAUUUAAAAAUUCCAUGUGAUACAAUUAUGUAUGAUUACAUUUCAGUUUUGCUAUACUUUAUAUUUGGCUUAUAUGAUUAAAGUAAACAGUAAAUUCCAUUGUUAUAAUUGGUUUUGAGUGUUAUGGGUUUAUUCAAAUUAAAGAUUUGAUUACAGUUUUGAUAAGAGUCAUAGCUUAACAGGUAUCUGGAGUUCACAUGUGCAUAGCUAUUUCACUGUAUAAAAAUAGGUUAAGAUAUUUUGAGAUUUUGGUGAUAUUUCCUGUUUUUAAAGUUUCAGGGGUGUGUCUAAUUCUGCUUGGUGCUGGUUUAUUUAACAGAAGUCUUAGUUUUUGGAUAUUAAUAUUGUGGAAAGUUAACAGAGCUGAUGUCUAGCUGAUCAAACUCAAAAUUAUGAAGCAAUUGUGAAGCUUUCAGAUGGCUUUAAUGGAGCAGACCUGAGAAAUGUUUGUACUGAAGCAGGUAUGUUCGCAAUUCGUGCUGAUCAUGAUUUUGUAGUACAGGAAGACUUCAUGAAAGCAGUCAGAAAAGUGGCUGAUUCUAAGAAGCUGGAGUCUAAAUUGGACUACAAACCUGUGUAAUUUACUGUAAGAUUUUUGAUGGCUGCAUGACAGAUGUUGGCUUAAUGUAAAAAUAAAGUUAAAAUAAUGUAUGUAUUGGCAAUGAUGUCAUUAAAAGUAUAUGAAUAAAAAUAUGAGUAACAUCAUAAAAAUUAGUAAUUCAACUUUUAAGAUACAGAAGAAAUUUGUAUGUUUGUUAAAGUUGCAUUUAUUGCAGCAAGUUACAAAGGGAGAGUGUUGAAGCUUUUCAUAUUUGCUGUGUGAGCAUUUUGUAAAAUAUUGAAAGUGGUUUGAGAUAGUGGUAUAAGAAAGCAUUUCUUAUGACUUAUUUUGUAUCAUUUGUUUUCCUCAUCUAAAAAGUUGAAUAAAAUCUGUUUGAUUCAGUUCUUC